rnacentral:rRNA from 1 species
GAUGAACGUUGGCGGCGUGCCUAAUACAUGCAAGUCGAACGAAGACUGUAGUAAUACUGUCUUAGUGGCGAACGGGUGAGUAACGCGUGGGUGACCUGCCCCGAAGUGUGGGAUAACAGUCCGAAAGGAUUGCUAAUACUGCAUAAUAUCCAAGAGAUUAGAUGCUUUUGGAUUAAAGGAGUAAUUCGCUUCGGGAGGGGCCCGCGUCCCAUCAGCUAGUUGGUAAGGUAAUGGCUUACCAAGGCGAUGACGGGUAGGGGACCUGAGAGGGUGGCCCCCCAAAUGGAACUGAAACACGGUCCAUACACCUACGGGUGGCAGCAGUAGGGAAUAUUAGUAAUGGGCGAAAGCCUGAACUAGCAACGCCGCGUGUGCGAAGAAGGCCUUCGGGUCGUAAAGCACUUUUUGAGAGGAUGAGGAAGGACGGUACUCUCAGAAUAAGUCUCGGCUAACUACGUGCCAGCAGCCGCGGUAAGCACGAGAGUA